UCCUGGAUCACGUUAGCUUGGAUUUCUUCGUGACCCAGAAUCAACGUGUCAGUAAAUCCUACUGGUUCAGUUCUAGUUCUUGCUCCGUCUCGGCCUCUUUAAACAACUUGUUCACACUCACCGCCUCAGCAGCAACGUCUUUAUUGUUCAUGAACAGCGGAAUACAAGCCGACUACAACGAAAAGAGAUCCAUCAGUCAGACAGGUGGAGAUUCAGGGCAGCAUGGAUUGAAACAAGGAUUUAAGGCUAAUGAAAGUUACCUGUACAGGUGUCAUGAAGACUGCAGCUGCAGAGGAAUCACCAUCUCAGCCUGGAUUUGAGUCAGAGAUGUUAAUAUUAAAAGUGAGCAAAAAAGCCUUGGAAACUGGCACAGACAAUCAUCAUAUUGGAGACAGUGAUCCAGCUGGUCCUCAGAUCCCCGUCCUGGAUUUCACUAAAUCCAGUCCAGGACUGAAGAGGAGGAAGAGAGACUGGGUUAUCCCUCCCUUAAACAUUGCUGAGAAUUCUAGAGGACCUUAUCCUUUGCAUAUUCAUGAGGUAACAGGAACAAAAAUGUUAUACAGUUUUUUUAAGAUGUCAGAAACAUUUCCUGCAGUGUAUUUUCCUCUUUAUUUAUAUCAUAUGUUUGUAAUGUGCAUUUACAAACUUUCUACAUUUCAUUUUGUGUUUAGUAAAACUGAAUUUGGCUCCAAAGUGAAAAAAAAAGUGUUUCUGGCCUGUAUCUUUUAUACCAGAAAUAACAUAGAAUAAAUGCUUCAACUAAAACAUCUCUUA